rnacentral:rRNA from 1 species
UUCAAGAGUACGUGAAACCGUUCAGGGGUUAAACGGGAGACAUCCUGAAUUCGAUGGGGUUUUCAAAGGAUUCAGGCCUGUCCGUGUGUAAACGGGCACCUUUGACAGAUGGCGCUGGUCGCCCGCAGCGAUUCAUUUCGCUUGUGGUGUCGAUCCCGGCGUUCACUCGUCUUGGUUGUUGUUACCCGGCACCGGAAGGUCGCACUUCCACCUCAGUAGAAACGUCGCGACCCGUUGGGUGCCGGUCUUAAGGCUUGGGAUGGCAGACCGUGUCCUGUGGGGCUCCACAGGUGCGCGGACUCCUGAUGACCCGGCCGGCUGCCCGACGGUAUGAGCAGAGGAGUCGAUCCGCUGAAUGGGAAACACUGUGUGUGUUUAGCGUCCGGCCCUACGCUGAUGUGCGCAGAGGUUAAGGCGAAAGCCGUGGGGGUCCGUGCUUGCAUGGAUUCACGAGCCCUGUAGCGUCUUCGGUUAGUUGUGGUCUCGGACUGGAU